GAAUGAGACAUCAGGAAUAGUCG
rnacentral:tRNA from 1 species